GCGAAGUGUUGCCUAAUUCAAUACGCCUUUUCUUUCCUCUAUUCUGUUAUGUAGGGAUGGGAAGGUAAGGUAAGGUUAGGCCAGGUAUAAUAGCCAGGUGUGUCUCGCAGGUAAUGUGUUGUGUUGUAUAGAAGGUCUUUUGUGUUGCGUGUAGUGUUGUAUAGGUGUCUUGUGUUGCAUGUUGUGUUGUAUAGGUGUCUUGUGUUGCAUGUUGUGUUGUAUAGGUCUUCUGUGUUGCGUGUAGUGUUGUAUAGGUCUUCUGUGUUGCGUGUAGUGUUGUAUAGGUCUUUUGUGUUGCGUGUAGUGUUGUAUAGGUCUUCUGUGUUGCGUGUAGUGUUGUAUAGGUCUUCUGUGUUGCGUGUAGUGUUGUAUAGGUCUUCUGUGUUGCGUGUAGUGUUGUAUAGGUCUUCUGUGUUGCGUGUAGUGUUGUAUAGGUCUUUUGUGUUGCGUGUAGUGUUGUAUAGGUCUUCUGUGUUGCGUGUAGUGUUGUAUAGGUCUUUUGUGUUGCGUGUAGUGUUGUAUAGGUGUCUUGUGUUGCGUGUAGUGUUGUAUAGGUCUUUUGUGUUGCGUGUCGAGUUCAUUUGCCUAAUUCGAUACGGCAUGACAUUCUCCCUUACGUUUUUUUGUGACCUUUUUUUUCAUUGUUAGUACGAGUCCGACACUCCAUGAAGAACCUGUUUCCUCAUUCCUCGACGCCGCUACUCCUUUCUGGGUCUGGUCUGGUCUGGUCUGGCUCCUGGACUGACCUUAUGACCCUUUGAAUCUUAGUAGUACACCUCCUCCUCCUCCUUCCUCUCAUCCUCAUCCUCCUCCUCCUCCUCCUCCUCCUCUGACCUAACUUAUACCGUUCACCUUUUACCUCCAUUCGCCACCAUUACAAUCCUCCUCCUCCUCCUCCUCCUCUUCUUCCUCCUCCUCUUCCUUUCACCCCUCACAUUCCCCCUCACUUGUACCCUUUCCAGCGCCUCCUCCUCCUCCUCCUCCUCCUCUUCCUCCUCCUCUUCCUUUCACCCCUCACAUUCCCCCUCACUUGUACCCUUUCCAGCGCCUCCUCCUUCCUCCCCUUUCUCCCUCCCUCCUCCCCUUCCUUCCUUCCCUCCUUUCUCUUUACCCUCAUCCUUUCCUUUCACCCUCUUGCCUCCUUUCCUCCUACCCAUUAUUCUUAUUCCGCUCUUCCAUUUAUUUGCUUUCUUUUCCUCUUCCUUUUCUUAUCUAUAACCGCUGUACUUUUCCCCUUCUUCCUCUUUUUCCUAAUCUUCGUUCUAUUUAUUUUCCUCCUCCUCCUCAUCCUCAUCUUCCUUUUCCUCCUCCUUUUUCUUUUCUAUGUAAUUAUCCCUUAGCCCUUCUUCAGUCUCCCUUCUUCCCCUCCUUCCCCUACCUCAACCCUCCCCGACCACUCUUACUCUCCCUCUACCUCCCCAGCACUCCCCACCUCCUCUCCCCCUUUUCCCCUUCUCCUCCAGCUAUCCAUCCCAUCUUCCUUCUUUUUGCCUUCCCCCUUAUCAUCCUCUAUACGCCUUCUACAUCCCCAUCCCUUUGUUCCCCUCCC